rnacentral:rRNA from 1 species
CCCUUAGAUGUUCUGGGCCGCACGCGCGCUACACUGCUUUGUUCAACAAGUUUGAUUUCCCUGCUUUCGAAAGGGGUGGGUAAUCUUUUAAACGCAAAGCGUGCUUGGGAUCGAUUUUUGCAAUUUUAAAUCGUCAACGAGGAAUCCCUUGUAUUUGCAAGUCAUCAACUUGCAGAGAAUACCGUCCCUGCUCUUUGUACACACCGCCCGUCGCUCCUACCGAUUGAAUGGUCCGGUGAAGCGUUCGGACCGUGGCCUUUGGACGGUUCGCCGUCUGUUGGCUGCGGGAAGUUCGUUAAACCUUAUCAUUUAGAGGAAGGAGAAGUCGUAACA